CUGCCAGUGACGCCACAACCACUUGGUGGACACCGAGGAAUCACCUGCUGGGCACGCCCGAAGCACCUCACAGAUGUGCCAGGACCACGUGCCGGCCAUGCUGGAACCAGCUCCCGGACAGACCAGAAGCACCUGCCGGACACGCCGGAACCACUUGCCGAGCAUGCAGGAACCACCUGCUCGACACGCAGGACCCACCUUCUGGACAUGCCAAAAUCACCUACCGGCUCCACCAGAACCACUUGGUGGACACUCUGGAAUCUCCUGCGGGCAUGCAUGAACCACCUCUCAAACUUGCCGCAACCACAUUCCUGACACGCCGGAACCACCCCACAAAAACACCAGAAGCACAUGCCGAGCACACCGGAAUAACCUGCUCAACUCGUUGGAACCAUGUGCCGGACACGCCAUAAUCACCUGCUGGCUAUGCCAGAACAACAUGGCAGAUACUCCGAAAUCACCUGCCAGCCUUGCCGGAACCGCAUCUCAGACGUCCCAGAACCAUGUGCCGGACACGCAGGAACCAUGUCCUGGACAGACUGGAACCACCUGCAGGACACCCCUGAACCAAGAGCCGAGCAUGCCGGAACCACCGGCUCGACUCGCAGGACCCCCCUAACGGACACGCCAAAAUCACCUGCGUGCUGCGCCAGAACCACUUGUUGGACACUCUGGAAUCACCUGCAGUGCAUGCCAGAACCACCUCUCCGAAGUGCCAGAACCACAUGUCGGACACUACGGAAUCACCUGCCGGGCAUGCCGGAACCACCUGUGAGACGUGCCACAACCACGUGCUGGAGAGACCGGAAGCACCUGCCUGACAUGCCAAACUCACGUUCCGGCGACGCCAAAACCACUUGGUGGACACUCCAAAAUCAACUUCCGGGCAUGCUGGAACCACGUCAUGGACAGACUGCAAACACCUGCCGGACCGGCCUGAACCACCUGCCGAGCACGCCGGAAACACCUGCUCGACACGCCCGAACCACCUGCCGGACACACCAAAAACACCUCCUGGUACGCCAGAAUCACUUGCCGGACACUCCGGAAUCACCUGUUGGGCAUUCUGGAACUACCUCUCAGACGUGCCAGAACCACGUGUAACAGACACCGGAUGCACCUUCUGAGCACGCUGGAACCUCCUACUCGACUUGCCGGGACCAACUGCCGGAGACACCAGAAUCACCUGCCGGCUAGGCCAGAACCACGUGGAGGACUCUAUGGAAUCACCUGCCGGGCAUGCCGGAACCACCUAUCAGAUGUGCCUGAAGCACAUGCUGGACACACCGGAACCACCUACUGGACAGACCGGAACCACCUGCCGGACCCGCCUGAACCACCUGCUGAGCACGCCGAAAAAACCUGCUCGACUCGCUGGAGCCACCUGCUGGACACGCCAAAAUCACCAGCCGGCUAUGCCAGAAGCACUUGCCAGACACUCUGGAAUCACCUGCAGGGCAUGCCGGAACCACCUCUCAGACGUGCCAGAACCACAUGCCGCAGACUCCGGAAUCACCUGCCGGUCAUGCCACAACCACCCCUCUGACGUGCCACAACCACGUGCCGGAGAGACAGGAGGCACCUGCCGAGCUCGCCGGAACCACCUGCUGGACACGCCAGCACCACCUGCCUGAGACGCCAAAAUCACGUGCCAGCUAUGCCAAAACCACUUGGUGGACACUCCAGAAUCACCUUCCGGGCAUGCCGGAAGCACCUCUCCGAUGUGCCAGAACCACGUGGCGGACAGUCCGGAAUCACCUGCUGGGCAUGCGGGAACCACCUCUCAGACGUACUAGAACCACGUGUGGCACACGCAGUAACUCACUGCCGGACAGGCCGAAACCACCUGCGGGAAAUGCCAGAAUCACCUGCCGAGAACGCCGGAACCACCUGAACAGCUCGCCAGAAACACCUGCCGGACACGCCAACAUCACCUGCCGGACACGCCAAAAUCACCUGCCGGCUAUGCCAAACUACUUGGCGGACACCCCAGAACCACCUGCCGGACAGGCCAGAACCACCUGCUGUACCCCCCGGAACCACCUCCCGGACAGACAGGAACAACCUGUCAGACACACGUGAACGACCAGCCCAGCUCGCCGGGACCACCUGCUCGAAUCACCGGAACCACCUGCUGGACGUGCCAAAAUCACCUGCCAGCUAUGCCAGAACCACGUUGGGGACAGUCUGGGAUCCCCUGCCGGGCAUGCCAGAGCCAACUCUCAGACAUGGCAGAACCAUGUGCGGGACACGCCGAAAACACCUAUAGGAAAGACUGGAACCACCUGCCCAAAACGCCUGAACCACCUGCUGAGCCCGCCAGAACCACAAGCUCGACUUGCUGGAAGCACCAGCCCAACACGCCCAAGUCACCAGCCGGCUAUGCCAGAACCACUUGUUGGAUACUCCGGAAUCACCUGCCGGGCAUGCCGGAACCACCUCUCAGACAGGCCAAACCAUGUGCCAAACACACCGGAAGCACCUCCUGCGCAGACGGGACCACCUGCUCAUCUCGCCUGAACCACUUGUUGGACACGCCAAAAUCACCUGCCGGUUACGCCAGAACCACUUGGCGGACUCUCUGGAAUCACAUGCUGGGCAUGCCAGAACCACUUCUCCUACGUGCCAGAACCACGUGCCUUACAUGCCGGAACCACCUCCCGGACAGACCGGCACCACCUGCCGGACAUGCCUGAACCACCUGCCGAGCACGCCGGAACCACCUGCCGGACAUGCCAAAAUCACCUGUGGGCUAUGCCAGAACAACUUGGAGGACUCUCCGGGAUCAGCUGCCAGACAUGCCGGAACCAGCUCUCGGACACACCAGAACCACGUGCCGGAGACGCCGGAAGCACCUGCCGAGCAUGCCGCAGCAACCUGCUCGACUCGCCAGAAACACCUGCCGGACACGCCAAAAUCACCUGCCGCGCAUGCCGGAACCACCUCUCAGACAAGCCAGAAGCACGUUCCGGACACGCCAGAAACACCUACCAGACAGACUGGAACCACCUGCCGAGCAUGACGGAUCCACCUGCUCGACUCGCCAGACCACCUACCUGACAUGCCAAAAUCACCUGCCGGCUAUGCCAGAACCACUUGGUGGACACUCCGGAAUCAUCUGCUGGACAUGCCAGAACCAGCUCUCAGACACACCAGAACCAUGUGCCAGAGAUGCCGGAAGCACCUGCCGAGCAUGCCGGAGCAACCUGCUCGACUCGCGAGAAACACCUGCCGGACACACCAAAAUUACCUGCCGCGUACGCCAGAACCACCUGGCGGACACUCAGGAAUCACCUGCCUCGCAUGCUGGAAUCACCUCUCAGACAUGCUGGAAGCAGGUGCUGAACGCACCGGAAACACCUACCAGACAGACCGGACCCACCUGCCAGACAUGCCGGAACCAGCUGCCGAGCACGCCGGAACCACCUGCUGUACUUGCAGGAACCAUGUGCCAGACAUGCCAAAAGGAACUGGGGCUACACCAGAACCACUUACCCGACACUCCGGUAUCACCUGCCUGGCAUGCAAGAACCACCUCUCAGACGUGCCAGAAGCAUGUGCCGGACAUGCCGGAACAAACUAUCGGGCAGAACGGAACCACCUGCCAGACACGCCGGAGCCACCUGCUCGACUCACCGGUACCACCUGCCGGACCAGCCACACUCAACAGCUGUCUAUACAGGAACCACCUGGCAGACAGUCCGGAAUCACCUACCGCGCAUGCCAGAACCACCUAUCAGAUGUGCCGGAAGCACGUGCCGGACAGGUCGGAACGACCUACAGGACAGACCGGAACCACAUGCCGGACCCGCCUGAACCACCUGCUGAGCACGCCGGAACAACCUAGUCGACUCGUUGGAGCCACCUGCUGGACACGCCAACAGCACCAGCCGGCAAUGCCAGAACCACUUGCCAGACACUCUAGAAUCACCUGCAGGGCAUGCCGGAACCACCUCUCAGAAGUGCCAGAACCACAUGUCGGACACUACGGAAUCACCUGCCGGGCAUGCCGAAACAACCUGUCACAUGUGCCAGAAACACGUGCCGGAGAUGCCGGAAGCACCUGCCGAGCAGGCCAGAACCACCUGCUCGACUCGCCAGAACCACCUGCCGGACACGCAAAAAUCACCUGCCGGCUACGCCACAACCAGUUGGUGAACACUUCCCAAUCACCUGCCGGGCUUGCUGGAACCACCUGCCGGUCAUGCCAAAAUCACCUGCCAACUACGCCAGAACCACUUGGUGGACACUGCAGAAACACCUGUCGGGCCGGCCGGAACCACCUCUCAGACGUGCCAGAACCAUGUGCAUGAGAUGCCGGAACCACACCCCGAACAGACCGAAACCACCUGCCAGACCCGCUUGAACGACCUGCCUAGCACGCUGGAACCACCUACCUGACAUGCCAAAACCACCUGCCGGGUAUGCUAGAACCACUUGGCGGACACUCCGGAAUCAUCUGCUGGACAUGCCGGAACCAGCUCGCAGACACACCAGAACCACGUGCCGGAGACGCCAGAAGCACCCGCCGAGCUUGCCAGAGACACCUGCUCGACUCACCAGAAUCACCUGCCGGACAUGCCAAAAUCACCUGCCGGGUAUGCCAGAACCACUUGGCGGACACUCCGGAAUCACCUGUCCGGCAUGCCGGAACCACCUCUCAGACUUGCCAGCGCCAUGUUCUGGACACGCCGGUACAACCUGCCGAGUAUGCCGGAACCACCUGAUCCACUAACCAGAACCAGCUGCUGGACACGCCAAAAUCACCUGCUGGCUACGUCAGAACCACUCGGCAGACACUCCGGAAUCACAUGCAGGGCAUGAUGGAACCACCUCUCAGAGGUGCCAGAAACACUCGGCAGACACUCCGGAAUCACCUGCCGGGCCUGCCGGAACCACCUCUCAGAGGUGCCAGAACCACAUGCCGGAGACUCCGGAAUCACCUGCCGGGCAUGCCGGAACCAUCUCUCAGAUGUGCCACAACCACAUGCCGGAGAGACCGCAAGCACCUGCCGAACUCGCCGGAACCACCUGCUGGACAUGCCGGAACCACCUGCCUCACAGGCCAAAAUCAUAUGCCGGCUACGCCAAAGCCAAUUGGUGGACACUCCAGAAUCACCUUGCGGGCAUGCCAGAACCACUUCAUGGACAGACUGCAAAUACCUGCUGGACCUGCCUGAACCACGUGCCGAGCACACUGGAACGACCUGCUCGACUCACCAGAGCCACCUGCCGGACACAGCAGAAACACCUGCGGGGUACGCGAGAACCACUUGGAGGACUCUCCGGGAUCACGUGACAGGCAUGCCGGAACCACCUCUCAGACGUGCCAGAACCAUGUGCCGGACACGCCGGAACCACCUGCCGAGUAUGCCGGAACCACCUGAUCCACUCCCCAGAACCAUCUGCUGGACACGCCAAAAUCACCUUCCGGCUACGCCAGAAACGCUCGGCAGACACUCCGGAACCACCUCCAGGACAGACCGGAACCCCCUGCUGGACACGCCGGGACCACCUGCUUGACUCACCAGAACCACCUGCCGGACACGCCAAAAUCACCAGCCGGCUACGCCACAAUCACUUGUCAGACAUUCCGGAAUCACCUGCCGGGCAUGCUGGAACCACCUCUCAGAGGUGCCACAACCACAUGCCGGAGAUGCUGGAAGCACCUGCCGAGAAUGCUGGAAGUUCCUGAUCCACUCCACAGAACCACCAGCCGGAAACGCCAAAAUCACCUGCCUGCUACACCAGAACCACUUGGCAGGCAAGCCAAAAUCACGUGAAGGGCAUGCCGACACAACCUCUCUGACGUGCCAGAACCUCGUGCUGGACACCCCAGAACCACCUGCCGGACACACUGGAGCCAUCUGCCGGACACGCCGGAACCACCGGCUCGACUCGCCGGAACCACUGCUGGACAUGCAAAAUCACCUGCCAGCUACGCCAGAACCAAUUGGCGGACACUCCAGAAACACCUGUCAGGCCGGCCGGAACCACCUGCACGACUCCCCAGAACCAGCUGCCGGACAUGCCAAAAUCACUUGCCGGCUACACCACAACCAGUUGGUGGACACUUCGGAAUCACCAGCCGGGCUGGCUGGAACCACCUGCCGGUCACGCCCACAUCACCUGUCAGCUCCGCCAGAACCACUUGGCGGACACUCCGGAAACACCUGUCGGGCCGGCCGGAACCACCUCUCAGACGUGCCAGAACCAUGUGCCUGAGAUGCCGGAACCACACCCCGAACAGACCGAAGCCACCUGCCACACCCGCCUGAACCACCUGCCGAGCACGCCGGGACCACCUGCACGACUCGCCGGAACCAACUACCUGACACGCCAAAAUCACCUGCCGGCUAUGCAAGAACCACUUGGUGAACACUCCGGAAUCACCAGCCGGGCAUGCCGGAACCACCUCUCAGACAUGCCGGAAUCACAUACCAAUGACACUGGAAGGACCUGCCGAGCAUGCCGGAACCACCUGCUCGACUCUCCAGAACCCCCUGCCGGACACGCCAAAAUCACCUUCCGGGUAUGCCAGAACCACUUGGAGGACACUCCAGGAUCACCUUUCGGGCAUGCCAGAACCACUUCUCAGACUUGCCAGAACCAUGUUCCGGACACGCCGGUACCACCUGCCGAGUAUGCCGGAACCACCUGAUACACUCUGCAGAACCACCUGCUUUGCAUGCCAAAAUCACCUGCCAGCUACGCCAGAACCACUCUGCAGACACUCCGGAACCAUCUCCAAGAUAGACCGGAACCACCUGCCUGACACGCCGGGACCACCUGUUUGACUCGCCAGAACCACCUGCCAGACACGCCAAAAUCACCAGCCGGCUACGCCACAACCACUUGUCGGACACUCCGGAAUCACCUGCCGGGCAUGCUGGAACCACCUCUCAGAGGUGCCACAACCACAUGCCGGAGACGGCGGAAGCACCUGCCGAGAAUGCCGGAAGUUCCUGAUCCAUUCCACAGAACCGCCUGCCGGACACGCCAAAAUCACCGGCCGGCUACGCCAGAACCACUUGGCGGACACUCCAGAAUCACCUGCCGGGCAUGCCAGCACAGCCUCUCUGAAGUGCCAGAAGCACGUGCCGGACAGGCCGGAACCAUCUCCCGGAAAGACCGGAACCAAAGGAAACACUCGCCGGAGCAACCUGCUUGACUCACCAGUCCCACCUGCCUGACAUGCCAAUAUCACCUGCCCGCUACAGGAGAAUCACUUGGGGGACAAGCCGGAAUCACGUGAAGGGCAUGCCAACACAACCUCUCAGACGUGCCAGAGCCUCGUGGCGGACACCACAGAACCACCUGCCGGACACACCGGAACCACCUGCCGGACACGCCGGAACCACUUGGCGAACACUGCAGAAUCACCUGUUGGGCAUGCCGGAACCACCUCUCAGACUUGCCAGAACCAUGUAGCAGACAGGCCGGUACCACCUGCCGAGUAUGCUGGAACCACCUGAUCCACUCCCCAGAAACACCUGCUGGACACGCCAAAAUCACUUGCCAGCUACACCACAACCAGUUGGUGGAAACUUCGGAAUCACCUGCAGGGCUGGCUGGAACCACCUGCCGGUCAAGCCCACAUCACCUGUCAGCUCCGCAAGAACCACUUGGCGGACACUCCGGAAACACAUGUCGGGCCGGCCGGAACGACCUCUCAGACGUGCCAGAACCAUGUGCCUGAGAUGCCGGAACCACACCCCAACAGACCGAAACCACCUGCCAGUCCCGCCUGAACCACCUGCCGAGCACGCUGGAACCACCUGCUCGACUAGCCGGAACCACCUACCUGACACGCCAAAAUCACCUGCCGGCUAUGCCAGAACGACUUGGCAAACACUCCGGAAUCACCUGCCGGGCAUGCCGGAACCACCUCUCAGACAUGCCAGAACCACAUGCCAAUGACACCGGAAGGACCUGCCGAGCACUCCGCAACCACCUCCAGGACAUACCGGAACCACCUUCCGGACACGCUGGGACCUCCUGCUUGACUCGCCAGAACCACCUGCCGGACACGCCAAAAUCACCAGCCGGCUACGCCACAACCACUUGUCGGACACUCCGGAAUCACCUGCCGGGCAUGCUGGAACCACCUCUCAGAGGUGCCAGAACCACAUGCCAGAGACUCCGGAAUCACCUGCUGGGCAUGCCAGAACCAUCUCUCAAACGUGCCACAACCACGUGCCGGAGAGACCGGAAGCACCUGCCGAACUCGCCAGAACCACCUGCGUGACAGGCCAAAAUCAUAUGUUGGCUACGCCCAAACCACUUGGUGGACACUCCAGAAUCACCUUGCGGGCAUCCCAGAACCACAUCAUGGACAGACUGCAAACACCUACCGAACCUGACUGAACCACCUGCCGAGCUGGCCGGAACCACCUGCAGGUCACGCCAACAUCACCUGCCAGCUACACCAGAAUCACUUGGCGGACACUCUGGAAUCACCUGCCGGGCAUGCAGGAACCACCUCUCAGAAGUGCCACAAACACAUGCCGGAGACGGCGUAAGCACCUGCCGAGAAUCCCUGAAGUUCAUGAUCCAUUCCACAGAACCACCAGACGGACACACCAAAAUCACGUGCCGGCUACCCCAGAACCACUUGGCGGACACUCCAGAAUCACCUGCCGGGCAUGCCAGCACAACCUCUCAGAAGUGCCAGAAGCACGUGCCGGACAAGCUGGAACCAUCUCCCGGACAGACCGGAACCACGGGAAACACUCGCCGGAACCACCUGCUUGACUCACCGGUCCCACCUGCCUGACACACCAAAAUCAGCUGCCGGGUAUGCCUGAACCACUUGGUGGACACUCCGGAAUCAUCUGCCGGACAUGCCAGAACCAGUUCUCAGACACACCAGAAUCACGUGCCGGACAUGCUGGAAGCACCUGCUGCGCAUGCCUGAGCUACCUGCUCGUCUCGCAAGAAACACCUGCCGGACACGCCAAAAUCACCUGCCAGGUAAGCCAGAACCACUCGGUGGACACUCCGGAAUCACCUAUCGGGCAUGCCGGAACCACCUCUCAGAGGUGCCAGAACCACAUCCCGGACACUCCAGAAUCACCUGUCGGGCAUGCCGGAACCACCUCUCAGACUUGCCAGAACCAUGUUCCGGACAUGCCAGUACCACCUGCCGAGUAUGCCGGAACCACCUUAUCCACUCCCCAGAACCACCUGCUGGACAUGCCAUAAUCACCUGCCGGCUACGCCAGAACCACUCGUCAGACACUCCGCAACCACCUCUAGGACAGACCGGAACCACCUGCCAGACACACCGGAACCACUGGCUCGACUCUCCGGAACCACUGCCGGACAUGCAAAAUCACCUGCCGGCUAUGCCAGAACCACUUGGCGAACACUCCGGAAUCACCUGUCUGGCAUGCCGGAACCACCUCUCAGACAUGCCAGAACCAUGUUCCGGACACGCCGGUACCACAUGCCCAGUAUGCCGGAACCACCUGAUCCACACCCCAGGAACACCUGCUGGACACGCCAAAAUCACCUGUCGGCUACGCCAGAACCACUCGGCAGACACUCCGCAACCACCUCCAGGAGAGACCGGAAUCACCUGCCGGACACGCCGGGACGACCUGCUUGACUUGCCAGAACCACCUGCCGGACACGCCAAAAUCAGCAGCCGGCUAUGCCACAACCACUUGUCGGACACUCCGAAUCACAUGUCGGGCAUGCUGGAACCACCUCUCAGAGGUGCCACAACUACAUGCUGGAGACGGCGGAAGCACCUGCCGAGAAUGCCGGAAGUUGCUUAUCCACUCCACAGAACCACCAGCCGGACACGCCAAAAUCACCUGCCGGCUACGCCAGAACCACUUGGCGGACACUCCAGAAUCACCUGCCGGGCAUGCCAGCACAACCUCUCAGAAGUGACAGAAGCACGUGCCGGACAGGCCGGAACCAUCUCCGGGACAGACAGGAACCACAGGAAACACUCGCCGGAACCGCCUACUUGACUCACCGGUCCCACCUGCCAGGCACACCAAAAUCACCUGCCUGCUACACCAGCACCACUUGGGGGACAAACUGGAAUCACGUGAAGGGCAUGCCGGCACAACCUCUCAGACGUGCCAGAAUCAUGUGCCAUAAAGACCAGAACCACAUGCCUAGUAUACCGGAAGCACCUGAUCCACUCCCCAGAACCACCUGCCAGACACGCCCACAUCACAUGCCAGCCACACCAGUACCACUUGGCGGACUCUCUGCAAUCACCUGCUGGGCAUGCCGGAACCAACUCUCAGAUGUGCCGCAGCCACGUGCCAGACACACCAGAACCACCUCACGGAGAGACAGGAAUGACCUGCCGGACCCGACUGAACCACCAGCCGAGCAUGCCAGAACCACCUGCUUGACUCGCCAGAACCACCUACCGGACACGCCAAAAUCACCUGCCUGCUAGGCCUGAACCACUUGUCGGACUCUCCGGGAUCACCUGGUGGGCAUGCCGAAACCAUGUCUCAGACGUGCCAGAACCAAGUGCCGGACACGCCAGAACCACCUGCCGACCAGGCUGGAACCACCAGCCGAACACGCCAAAAUCACCUGCCGGUAAUGCCAGAAUCACUUGGAGGACUCUCCGGGAUCACCGGCCGGGCAUGCCGGAACCACCUCUGAGACGUACCAGAAGCACGUGCCAGACACGCCGGAACCACAUCCUGGACAGACUGGAGCCACCGGCGGGACAUGCACGAACCUCCUGCCGAGAAUGCCAGAAACACCUGCUCGGCUCCCGGGAAAAACCUAUGGGGAAACUGUCAUAGAAAUGAAGGUCAAACGGCCUUUCUUGCCAGGCCUUACCUCGCCACUUUAGAACUUCUGCUUCUGCCACAAUUCCACCUUGCCAACCCGGCUCAGACGAAAUGCCUACAGAUUCCCCUUGAGCAAUGGGGACGAGGCCUGGAUGAUUGUGGUUCCACAUGCUGAGGAGGAGAGAGACAGUAGGCUCUUAACUAACCACCAAGUGCAAUGGUUGAGAGAGUGUCAGAAAGCACCAAUGGCAGAAAGACCCCUUUACUCUCAGCCGUGCCCUCCAUUGCUCUAGAGCUGGAAGGCACAAAGGACUGCCUCAAUCCUUCAAUGCGAAACAAGCCAUAAACUGUCUUGCCUCCAGCUCUUUAGGAAGCUGACGAACAACUCGCUUUCCACAGUCCCCUUACAGCAUACCAGGAACCUCUCAUACAAAGGCAGCUCAAACGCCAUUUCUUCCCAGUGCUUAACUUGCAGCUUUAGGACUUCUGCUUCUGCCGCAAUUCCACCUUGCCAAUCCGGCUCAGACGAAAUGCCUACAUCUUCCACUGAAGCAACUGGGCUGUGUCCCAAAUGAUUGAGCGUCCACGUGCUUAGGAGGCGAUAGACUGCACGCCUUUUUCCAACCACCAAUGUGCACUGCUGGAGAGAUUUUCGUAAAGAAGCUAUGUCAGAAAGGCCCCUUUGCUCACAGCCGUGCCCUUCAUUGCUCUACAGGUGGAAGGCACAAGGCACUGGCUCUGGAUCCACCCCUCAAUAGGAGACAAACAACAUCUUGUCCUGCUUCUAGCUCUGUAGGAAGCUGAGAAAAAACUCCCUUUCCACAGUGCCCUUACAGCGUCCUGGGAACAUCUCAUACAAAGGAGGCUGAACACCGUUUCCUUCAUCACUUCACUCCCCAGUCUGGGACUUCUGCAUCCUGCACAUUUCCACCUUGGCAACCUGGCUCAGACGAAAUGCCUACAUCUUCCCCUUCAGCAACGGGCACGAGGCCCAGAUGAUUCUGCUUCCACAUGCUUAGCAGGAGCAGACAAUAGGCUUUUUACAAACCGCCAUUGUGCACUGGUGCAGAGAGUGUCAGAGCGCACCUAUGUCAGAAAGGGCCCUUUGCUCUCAGCCAUGCCCUCCAUUGCUCCAGAGGUGGAAGGCACAAAGCACUGCCUCCAUCCUUCAAUUGGAGACAAGCCAUCAACUGUCCUGCUUCCAGCUCUUUAGGAAGCUGGGAAAGCACGCGCAUUCCACAGUGCUCUUACAGCAUCCUGGGAACAUCUCAUAAAAGGCACCUGAAUGCCGUGUCUUUUCAGCCCUUAACUCGCCAAUCUGCAACAUCCGCUUCUGCCGCAUUUCCACCUUGCCAACCCGGCUCAGACGAAAUGCCUACAUCUUCCCCUUGAGCAAUGGGGACGAGGCCCGGAUGAUUGUGGUUCCACAUGCUGAGGAGGAGACAGACAAUAGGCUUUUAACCAACCGCCCUUGAGCAAUGGUUGGGGCAGUGUCAGAAACCACCAAUUUCAGAAAGUCCCUUUACUCUUGGUCUUGCCCUCCAUUCCUCUAGAGGUAGGAGGCACAAGGCACUGGCACCACCCCUGAAGGGUAUCAGAAAGCACCAAUGGCAGAAAGCCCCCUUUGCUCUCAGCCGUGCCCUCCAUUGCUCUGCAGGUGGAAGGCACAAAGCACUGCCUCAAUCCUUCAAUGAGAGAGAAGCCAUAAACUGUCUUGCCUCCAGCUCUUUAGGAAGCUGAGAAAGAACUCGCUUUCCACAGUGUUGUACAACAUACGAGGAAUCUCUCAUACAAAGUCAGCUCAAAUGCCAUUUCUUCCCAGCGCUUAACUCGCCGCUUUAGGACUUCUGCUUCUGCCGCAGUUCUACCUUGCCAACCUUGCUCAGACGAAAUGCCUACAUCUUCCCCUGAAGCAACUGGGCUGAGUCCCAAAUGAUUUAGCAUCCACCUGCUCAGGAGGCGACAGACUGUAAGCCUUUUUCCAAACACCAUUGUGCACUGGUGGAGAGAGUGUCAGAAUGCAGCUAUGUCAGAAAGACCCUUUUGCUCUCAGCCAUACCCUCCAUUGCUCUAGAUUGCAAUGCACAAUGCAUUGGCCCCACCCCUCAAGGGGCCACAAGCCACAGACCAUCUUCCUUCCUUCUCUUUAGGAAGCUGAGAGCAAACUCACCUGACGUAUAAAAAGGAAUCAUGCCCCUUAUGUGCCAGAAAACCCCGGGAGACAUGCCAAAAACACCCUCUGCACACUCUCAAAGGGCCACACAUUCAUGCCAGUAUGACCCAACAGGCAUACCAGAAGCACGCACGUUGCAUGCCAGAACCACCUGUAACCACCUGCCGGACACAGUGGAACAGUGAUUCUGACACUGCAGAACCAUCUCUUCAACAUGCCAGCCGCACACAAUGACAUGACGGAACCAGAUUCCAAACAUAGCACAACGACAUGCCAGACACAUUGUAAACACCUGUUGGAUAUGCCACAAACAGGAGCCAGAAACUCUGAAACCAGCUGAGUAUGAAAGAACGGGGGCCAGAAGUGCCACAAGCAUCUGUCUUACAAGCCAGAGCCAUGAGCGCAAAAAGCAGGAAAGACCUGCCGGACACACCAAAAUAACCUGCCGGUGACGCCAGAACCACUUGGCAGACACCCAGGAAUCACCUGCCAGGCACGCCUGAAGCACCUCACAGAUGUGCCAGAACCACGUGCCGGCCAUGCCGGAACCAGCACCCGGACAGACCAGAAGCACCUGCCAGACACGCCGGAACCACAUGCCGCGCAUGCCGGAACCACCUCUCACACAUGCCAGAACCAUGUGCCAAUGACCCCGGAAGCACCUGCCGAGCACGCCGGAACCACCUGCUCGACUCGCCAGAACCACAUGCUGGACACGCAAAAAUCACCUGCCGGCUACGCCAGAACGAGUUGGUGGACUCUCUGGAAUCACCUGCCGGGCAUGAUAGAACCACCUCUCAGACGUGCCGGAACCAUGUGCCAGACACGCCUGAACCACAUGCCGAGCACGCUGGAACCA
ensembl:lncRNA